GAUGAACGCUGGCGGCGUGCCUAACACAUGCAAGUCGAACGCUGAAGGAGGAGCUUUCUCUUCUGGAUGAGUUGCGAACGGGGGAGUAACGCGUAGGUAACCUGCCCGGGAGUGGGGGAUAACUUUUGGAAACGAUAGCUAAUAUCGCAUGGCAUCCGCUAUUGCAUGGUAACUGUUUGAAAGGGGCAACUGGUCCACUACCAUAUGGGCCUGCGUUGUUUUGGCUUGUUGGGGGGGUAAAGGCUCCCCACGGCGACGAGACAGAGCCGGCCGGGGAGGGGGGUCGGCCACACUGGGACGGAGACACGGCCCAGACGCCUACGGGAAGCAGCAGUAGGGAAUCUUCGGCAAUGGACGGAAGUCUGACCGAGCAACGCCGCGUGAGGGAAGAAGGGUGUCGGAUCGGAAAGCUCUGUUGUAAGAGAAGAACGAGUGUGAGAGUGGAAAGUUCACACUGUGACGGUAUCUUACCAGAAAGGGACGGCUAACUACGUG
rnacentral:rRNA from 1 species